CAAUUCAAUUUCUAGAACUGGGACUUGAACAGGUUCUGAAUCAGCAGUAUAAACGUCCUGCCUCUACGAGUAUCCACGAGGUCGGCCAGAAUUGAUCCUCUUGACUCCUGUUUGCUUGAACCAAAAGCCUGAAUAGGCUUGAACCAAGCCUGGAGAAGCUUUUAAUUGUGAACUCUUUUGAUCUUUCUUUUUUAUUUUUGAAAAAAUCAAGAAUCUUUCUUAAUCCCUCAAUUAAUCAAAAAGAACAAUAACCAAGAAGUGGUUGUAACUAACUUUCAACAAACUUGAGAUGGAAGGGAACAAACCAAGAAGCGAGUUGGCACCAACUAUUGACACCACCGCUUUGUUGUCGCCCACCCCUCUUUUGGCUCCAAGGAAGGAUGCCUAAAGAGAGAGAAGGCAUGGGCUAGAGAGAGGAAGAGGAGAGAAGACAUGGGCACAGUAACAAACGGUGGCAAGGAGGGAGAAGUUGAUCUUAUGGGAGAAGUAAAAGCUAGGAUCCUUUAUAUAGACAACUUAAGGAUGU
rnacentral:lncRNA from 1 species